GACGAACGCUGGCGGCGUGCCUAAUACAUGCAAGUAGAACGCUGAAGAGAGGAGCUUACUCUUCUUGGAUGAGUUGCGAACGGGUGAGUAACGCGUAGGUAACCUGCCUUGUAGCGGGGGAUAACUAUUGGAAACGAUAGCUAAUACCGCAUAACAAUGGAUGACACAUGUCAUUUAUUUGAAAGGGGCAAUUGCUCCACUACAAGAUGGACCUGCGUUGUAUUAGCUAGUAGGUGAGGUAAUGGCUCACCUAGGCGACGAUACAUAGCCGACCUGAGAGGGGAUCGGGCCACACGGGAACUAAGACAGGCCCCAGACCCUAACGGGAGGAGCAGGAGGGAAACCUCCGGAAAGGGGGCAACCCUGAACGGAGAACGCCGCGGGAAUGGAGAAGGGUUUCGGAUCAUAAAGCUCUGUUGUAAGUCAAGAACGGGUGUGAGAGUGGAAAGUUCACACUGUGACGGUAGCUUACCAGAAAGGGACGGCUAACUACGUG
rnacentral:rRNA from 1 species